ACGCUGGCGGCAUGCCUAACACAUGCAAGUCGAACGAGACCUUCGGGUCUAGUGGCGCACGGGUGCGUAACACGUGGGAAUUUGCCUCGGGGUAUGGAAUAACUCAGGGAAACUUGAGCUAAUACCAUAUAAUGUCUUCGGACCAAAGAUUUAUCGCCCUGAGAUAAGCCCGCGUAGGAUUAGCUAGUUGGUGAGGUAAAGGCUCACCAAGGCGACGAUCCUUAGCUGGUCUGAGAGGAUGAUCAGCCACACUGGGACUGAGACACGGCCCAGACUCCUACGGGAGGCAGCAGUGGGGAAUAUUGGACAAUGGGCGAAAGCCUGAUCCAGCAAUGCCGCGUGAGUGAUGAAGGCCUUAGGGUUGUAAAGCUCUUUUACCCGGGAUGAUAAUGACAGUACCGGGAGAAUAAGCUCCGGCUAACUCCGUG
rnacentral:rRNA from 1 species